GAUACUGUAAAUCCCAACACUGAAGUCCAACAAAUGUAAUUACUUUCAAUGCAGUAUCAGGUUAUUUAAAGGUCAAUGAAAUGAUUAAAACAAGCUGCAGGGAACCUUCUGAGAUUUCCUGGGUUUGCCGCACGGGUCAAAGCUGUUGCAUCCCUAGUGUCCUUUGGAGCCUCCUGGUGGCAGUUGCCCUGCUCCAGCUUAAUACUGAUGGGAAGAAUUCCAGAUCCUACAUCCUUAGACACCAGGUGGGAUAAGCCUGGAAUCAUUGCAAGUCUCAGAGACAGACACACCUCCUAUUUCCAAUGCCAGGAAUUCCAUGAGUUUCCUCUUAGGUGAGAAGUUUCCAAGAAAAAAAUACAGAAAAUGGAGCAAGAAGUUUUCCAAAGCAAAUGGAGUUAAGCUUCAAUAAACUAAACUUUAAAAUAAUUUUCUAAGUUACUCCGCAUGAGUGAGUGAUUUUUUUUCUACCACUGAAUGGAAAUAGAACCUCAGAAGAUCAAAUUCA
rnacentral:lncRNA from 1 species